AACAGCAUCAAAAUGACUGCCCAGAGACUUGGUUUGGUGAACAGCUGAGGGAUGGGGGAAGGAGAAGUGUAACCACUCUCAAAUGCAUAGCGAAAGCUAUUGUAGCAACCGUAACCCAACAACUAGCGAGCAUGUCAAGAGGUUCCGACAUCUUGGCGUAACAGUUAUAAGGUGUUGGCUUACAGUCACUGGACCCAGGAGAGAGACGGGACUACCGUGGAUCCUCUGGGGAGCCUCAACAACCUCAUGAUGCUGACGAGGCAGAGAAGAGUCUCUCCACAUUAGAACACCCCAAGAAACACCUGCAGAGAUCCACAGGGAAGAGAACUCUCUGCUGCUCUGUCUGUGGGAAGAGAUUCACCUCAUCAGGCAUUACAAUUCAUCAGGGAACACACACAGGGGAGAAAUCUUAUAGCUGUGAUCAAUGUGGGAAGAGUUUUACUACAUCUGGAUCUCUGACUUUACACCAGAGAACACACACAGGAGAGAAACCUUAUAGCUGUACUCAAUGUCGGAAGAGUUUUACUCAGCUCAGCAGCCUAAUAACAGCACCAGAGAAUACACACAGGAGAGAAACCUUAUAGCUGUGGUCAAUGUGGGAAGAGUUUUGCCCAAUCUGGAGCACUGACAGUGCACCAGAGAAUACACACAGGAGAGAAACCUUAUAGCUGUGGUCAAUGUGGGAACAGUUUUGCUGCGUCAAGAACUCUGA